GACGAACGCUGGCGGCGUGCUUAACACAUGCAAGUCGAACGGAAAGGCCCUGCUUUUGGGGGGUGCUCGAGUGGCGAACGGGUGAGUAACACGUGAGUAACCUGCCCUGGACUUUGGGAUAACUUCAGGAAACUGGGGCUAAUACCGGAUAGGAGCUCCUGCUGCAUGGCGGGGGUUGGAAAGUUUCGGCGGUUGGGGAUGGACUCGCGGCUUAUCAGCUUGUGGGUGGGGUAGUGGCUUACCAAGGCUUUGACGGGUAGCCGGCCUGAGAGGGUGACCGGCCACAUUGGGACUGAGAUACGGCCCCGACUCCUACGGGAGGCAGCAGUGGGGAAUAUUGCACAAUGGGCGGAAGCCUGAUGCAGCAACGCCGCGUGCGGGAUGACGGCCUUCGGGUUGUAAACCGCUUUCGCCUGUGACGAAGCGUGAGUGACGGUAAUGGGUAAAGAAGCACCGGCUAACUACGUG
rnacentral:rRNA from 1 species